rnacentral:tRNA from 13 species
GUGUGCGGAGCGUGGUGGUGGAUCCGGGCUUCAGAUC